rnacentral:ncRNA from 1 species
GAACCUGCGGGAAAGAAGAACCCGCUGAGCCUGAUUGAAACGCGGUGAAGAGACAGCGGAGGGGGAUCAGUGGGCGGUCCCGCCUCCAUCUCCAUUUCCCGCAUGGAGGCCAGGCAAGUACAUGCGCCUUGCUGUCUGUGGGUGAAAUUCCACUAUUGAUUGUUUUCUCACUAACCUGGUGGGGGAGUCGGGCGCGAGUUUCGAGAGAGGCUCUGGCUUCUGGCGCCAAGCCUUAGCCAAGCUCACCAGGGGCAGCGCUAGAUGGGGAGACUGGGACACACGUCUGAAUGCAGGUGUCCUAAGGCAGCUUAGGAAGACAGAAGCCUCCCGUGGGGCAGGAGGGCAAAAGCUCUUGGGUCUUGGAUUUGCAGCAGCAGUUCAGACGGUGAAAGCAGGGCCUCAGGAUCCUUCUGACCUUUUGAGUUUUAAAAAAGGGGUGUGAGAAAAGUCGUCACAAGGAUAACUGAUUUGCAGCAGGAAAGCAAUCAUAGGAAUGAGGCUUUUUUUUUUUUUUUUUUUUUGACAGGGUCUCAUUCUGUGGCACAGGCUGGACUGCAGUGGUGCCACCAUAGCUAACUGCGCUCAAGUGAUCCCCUCGCCUCAGCCUCCAAAAUAAAUGGUACCGCAGGCCUGAGCCACCGUGUCCUGUGGCUUUUUAAUCCUUUUGAUCCUUGGAUGUGGGCUCUUCCUAUCACUGGAAGACGAAAUUCACCAAGGUUGGGUUGUUCACCCACUCAGAAAACCUGAGCUGGGGCUGGGGCUGUGGCUCACGCCUGUAAUCCCAGCACUUUGGUAGGCCAAAGCGGGCGAAUCACCUGAGGUCGGAAGUUCGAGACCAGCCUGGCCAACAUGGUGAAACUCCCAUCUCUACUGAAAAUACAAAAAUUAGCCGGGCGUGGUGGCGCAUGCCUGUAAUCACAGCUACUCAGGAGGCUGAGGCAGGAGAAUCGCUUGAACCCGGGAGGCAGAGGUUGCAGUGAGCUGAGAUGGUGUUACUGCACUCCAGCCUGGGCAACAAGAGCGAAAGUCCAUCUAAAAAGAAAAAAGAAAGGAAAGGAAAGGAAAGGAGAAAGAAAGAGAAAAGAAAGAAAGAAAGAAGAAAGAAAAAGAAAGAAAGAAGAAAGAAAGAAAAGAAAGAAAGAAAGAAAGAAGAAAGAAGAAAGAGAAAGAAAGAAAGAAAGAAGAAAGAAAGAAAGAAAGAGAAAGAGAAGAAGAAAGAAAGAAAGAAAGAGAAAGAAAGAAAGAAAGAAAGAAAGAAAGAAAGAAAGAAGAAAGAAAGAAAGAAAAGAAAGAAAGAAGAAAAAGAAAAGGAAAGAAAAGAAAACCAGAGCGGAGAUUAGACCAUGUGAAACAGGUUGAUUUCACUCUAGUGAGCAUGCGUGGUUGCCAUGGUGAUCCUGCCCGGUACCACAGGUCCCCAGGUUCAGACAUUUGGUGCCUGCGCUUGGAUGAGGGACCACUGGGCUAAGCUGCCAUCCGUGGGAUGCUGACUGAUGGCCUCUAAGUCAGAAUAUGCCCAGGCAGAACAAUAGGGCAGCGCCAUGGAGUCUCGGUUGGCCUGGGAUAGCCGGUCCUCGCCAACAGGACGCAGUGCAGCAGGGUUGAGGCCCCAUGCGGAGAGCUCAUGUCUGGGAAACCCGGCAGUGGGAAGGGUGCCCCCCCCCUCACCCUUCACGCAAGGCGCAUUCGUGGGGAACCUGGCGCUAAACCAUCCCUAGAGGAGCUGCUUCUGGGUCCGAGUUUUCUCUGCAGCAGAGUAGCUCCCUGAAUGGGAUCUGUUGAAAGUUAGCCCUCCACACAGGCGUGU